rnacentral:rRNA from 1 species
UACGUAGGGUGCAAGCGUUGUCCGGAAUUAUUGGGCGUAAAGAGCUCGUAGGCGGUUUGUUGCGUCGGCUGUGAGAUCCCGAGGCUCAACCUCGGGUCUGCAGUCGAUACGAGCAAACUAGAGUGUUGCAGGGGAGACUGGAAUUCCUGGUGUAGCGGUGAAAUGCGCAGAUAUCAGGAGGAACACCGGUGGCGAAGGCGGGUCUCUGGGGCAACAACUGACGCUGAGGAGCGAAAGCGUGGGGAGCGAACAGG